rnacentral:rRNA from 1 species
UGGGGAAUAUUGCACAAUGGGGGAAACCCUGAUGCAGCAACGCCGCGUGAGUGAUGAAGGUUUUCGGAUCGUAAAACUCUGUCUUUGGGGACGAUAAUGACGGUACCCAAGGAGGAAGCCACGGCUAACUACGUGCCAGCAGCCGCGGUAAUACGUAGGUGGCAAGCGUUGUCCGGAUUUACUGGGCGUAAAGGGAGCGUAGGUGGACUUUUAAGUGAGAUGUGAAAUACUCGGGCUCAACCCGAGAACUGCAUUUCAAACUGGAAGUCUAGAGUGCAGGAGAGGAAAGUGGAAUUCCUAGUGUAGCGGUGAAAUGCGUAGAUAUUAGGAAGAACACCAGUGGCGAAGGCGACUUUCUGGACUGUAACUGACACUGAGGCUCGAAAGCGUGGGGAGCAAACA